rnacentral:rRNA from 1 species
AACGAACGCUGGCGGCGGGCCUAACACAUGCAAGUCGAACGCUCCGCAAGGGGAGUGGCGCACGGGUGAGUAACACGUGGGAACCUACCUUCUGGUACGGAACAACCAAGGGAAACUUUGGCUAAGACCGUAUACGACCUCCGGGUGAAAGAUUGAUCGCCGGAAGAGGGGCCCGCGUCCGAUUAGGUAGUUGGUGAGGUAACGGCUCACCAAGCCUUCGAUCGGUAGCUGGUCUGAGAGGAUGACCAGCCACACUGGGACUGAGACACGGCCCAGACUCCUACGGGAGGCAGCAGUGGGGAAUAUUGGACAAUGGGCGCAAGCCUGAUCCAGCCAUGCCGCGUGAGUGAUGAAGG